CCUACGGGGGACAGCAGUCGAGAAUCAUUCACAAUGGGGGAAACCCUGAUGGUGCGACGCCGCGUGGGGGAAUGAAGGUCUUCGGAUUGUAAACCCCUGUCAUGUGGGAGCAAAUUAAAAAGAUAGUACCACAAGAGGAAGAGACGGCUAAAUCUGUGCCAGCAGCCGCGGUAAUACAGAGGUCUCAAGCGUUGUUCGGAAUCACUGGGCGUAAAGCGUGCGUAGGCUGUUUCGUAAGUCGGGUGUGAAAGGCGCGGGCUCAACCCGCGGACGGCAGAUGAAACUGCGAGACUAGAGUGAUGGAGGGGGAACCGGAAUUCUCGGUGUAGCAGUGAAAUGCGUAGAUAUCGAGAGGAACACUCGUGGCGAAGGCGGGUUCCUGGACAUUAACUGACGCUGAGGCACGAAGGCCAGGGGAGCGAAAGGGAUUAGAUACCCUUGUAGUC
rnacentral:rRNA from 1 species